UGCUCCUCUAAGAAAAAAUGCACCAGUGAGCGCAGUGAAGGUGGUCAGAGCACUUUGUCGAAGUGGGAAAGAAGUUAGAAAACAAUACAAAGAAGUUCAGGAAUUUAACCCUGAAAGAUUGUAAAGGACCCGGUGCUCAUGUGCAAUUAUGCAAAAUUCUGGCUUUCACCACUUAAGGUGAUAUUAAAAGUUCUACACUUUUCUAUUUGAAUCUUUCCUUCAUAUUGAUCUGAUCUGGUUAAAAUUUAAACAACAAAAAAAAUUUUAAGUGCCCUUCAGGAAAACGAAACUGAUUUGCUUGUGGGUGGUUUCAAUUUGUCACAGGGGUGUAACUGCCUGACCGGAGCCUGGAUUCAGAGGCAUCGCUGCCCCAAGAACAGCUGAUCCGCUCCAAGAGACCUGCAUGGUAGAAUAAUUUCUCAGGGUAUGGCUAUGUGAGGUGCUGCUGAGAAACCACCGGAGGUGACGGAAGCCAAAGGCCCUUAGGAAAUCAAGGAGUUAUGACGAAAUAUUCUCAAAUUUUGUCCACACCAGUCAUGAUAAUUUUUAUCAAGAAAAGGCAAAUAAUCUAACAGAGUUCAAGAUCAAGGAGCCUCACGAUGACCUGUUUCAAGCUUCUGAUGUAAAGAGUGAAAGUUUUCAGAAAAGCCUUGGUAAGUUCCUAAUCAUUAGAGCCAUUAUUUCAACUCUCAUUAGAAGAUAUCUUUAAAAAGCUGUU
rnacentral:lncRNA from 1 species